AGAGUUUGAUCCUGGCUCAGAUUGAACGCUGGCGGCAUGCCUUACACAUGCAAGUCGAACGGCAGCACGGGGGCAACCCUGGUGGCGAGUGGCGAACGGGUGAGUAAUAUAUCGGAACGUGCCCUGGAGUGGGGGAUAGCUCGGCGAAAGCCGGAUUAAUACCGCAUACGAUCUAAGGAUGAAAGUGGGGGAUCGCAAGACCUCAUGCUCCUGGAGCGGCCGAUAUCUGAUUAGCUAGUUGGUAGGGUAAAAGCCUACCAAGGCAUCGAUCAGUAGCUGGUCUGAGAGGACGACCAGCCACACUGGAACUGAGACACGGUCCAGACUCCUACGGGAGGCAGCAGUGGGGAAUUUUGGACAAUGGGGGCAACCCUGAUCCAGCAAUGCCGCGUGUGUGAAGAAGGCCUUCGGGUUGUAAAGCACUUUUGGCGGGAACGAAACGGUCCGGGCUAAUACCCUGGACUAAUGACGGUACCCGCAGAAUAAGCACCGGCUAACUACGUGCCAGCAGCCGCGGUAAUACGUAGGGUGCAAGCGUUAAUCGGAAUUACUGGGCGUAAAGCGUGCGCAGGCGGUUGUGCAAGACAGAUGUGAAAUCCCCGGGCUCAACCUGGGAAUUGCAUUUGUGACUGCACGGCUAGAGUGUGUCAGAGGGGGGUAGAAUUCCACGUGUAGCAGUGAAAUGCGUAGAUAUGUGGAGGAACACCGAUGGCGAAGGCAAUCCCCUGGACCUGUACUGACGCUCAUGCACGAAAGCGUGGGGAGCAAACAGGAUUAGAUACCCUGGUAGUCCACGCCCUAAACGAUGUCAACUGGUUGUUGGGUGCAUUAGUACUCAGUAACGAAGCUAACGCGUGAAGUUGACCGCCUGGGGAGUACGGCCGCAAGGUUGAAACUCAAAUGAAUUGACGG
rnacentral:rRNA from 1 species